UGAAGUCGUAACAAGGUAGCCGUACCGGAAGGUGCGGCUGGAUCACCUCCUUUCUAAGGAGCAUCUAGCUGCCGCAAGGCAGCCAGGGCCACAACGUCGGCGAACGUCCGACGGUGGUUGCUCAUGGGUGGAACGUUGAUUAUUCGGCCGGUUUACCGGGUCGGAGGCUGUGAGUACUGCUCGUAAGAGCGUGGAAAACAUGAUCUCCGGGCGGAAUCUGGUCGGGCACGCUGUUGGGUGUCUGAGGGCACGGCCGUCUGGCUGCCUUCAGUGCCGGCCCCGGUGAAGCACCAUGUAGGUGGUGUGUGACGGGUGGUUGGUCGUUGUUUGAGAACUGCACAGUGGACGCGAGCAUCUGUGGCCAAGUUUUUAAGGGCGCACGGUGGAUGCCUUGA
rnacentral:misc_RNA from 1 species